AAAGUAGCCAGUGCUUGCUCUCUGGAAGCUACAUCAAAUAAAGAACAAUAAAAAGAGGGUGGUUCAGGCUUUGGAAGUCUUUAAAGACACAUCGCUGUGAUCUUUGUAUCACUGCUGCAGAAAAGAGGACAGCAUUUCAUAUUUCUGGCAUUACUAAUGACAACACAGCAACUGCAAGAAGGCAUGGAUUUCUGGGGGUAGCAUCAGGGAACAGGACUCCUGCUGCGCUCACCAGCUCCCUGCUCCGCACAGCUGCCUUCUCAGCUGGGGGUUUGAAAUCAGCACUGUGAGAAAACACAGAAAUGACCGUGAUGCAUCUUCCUCACCAUGAGAAAAAGGCAACAACUAUUUAUUGAAUGACUGCAUUGUACUAGUCACUGUUGGAGAUACUUGAGAUACAGCAGCAAACAAGACAACAGAGCCUCUAUCAUGGAACUUAUUAGAUUCUAGCAAGAAUUGAAGAUGAGGAGACAGCAUAAUCCUUCACACUUGUUUUGAGAAAGAGAAAUGGGCAAGUAUGACUGAGAAAAUAAUUCGAAGACCUUUUGGUAUACUCCAGUGCCGCGACCUGCACGACUGGGCUCAGGAUCUGAAGGAGGGGCCGAUGCACAAAUGAAAAUGACAUACAAGAAAUAUGAUUUUAGAAGGCAUUGGGGAAGAUGCCAGCUGAGUGAUCUGCUUUUAGUCAGCUAGAAAUAACAUUAAUCCCUACUGAGACGAGUUCCUCCUAACACCACACUCUUCAAAGGUUCAUGGCUCUCCUGUGGCAGGGGGAUGAGCUCCCCAGUGCCCACAUGGCUCAUGGCCAAGUUGGACUCCACACAUGGACUAAUGGACUUUAAUUAGCUUGGAUGCUGAACCACACCCAGCUGCUACAUUGAUCGGAAGCUCACUGGCCUUCCUUCUGGUUCUGUUGAACUCCCAGCUGCCACUCUUUUAGGACUAGCUUGGGGGAAAUGGGACAUUGGAAACUGAGGAAUGUAACUCCAUGCCAAUAAAACCUUCUACCACCUCUCA